rnacentral:misc_RNA from 1 species
AGCAGCCGCGGUAAUUCCAGCUCCAAUAGCGUAUAUUAAAGUUGUUGCAGUUAAAAAGCUCGUAGUUGAAUUUCGGGAUUGACACAUCGGUCGUGCCUUAAGGGGUAUGAACUGGUGUAGUCAAUUUCUCACCUUCUGGAGAACCGCGAUGCCCUUAAUUGGGUGUCGCGGGGAACCAGGACCUUUACUUUGAAAAAAUUAGAGUGUUUAAAGCAGGCAUUUUGCUUGAAUACAUUAGCAUGGAAUAAUAAAAUAGGACGGCAUGAUUCUAUUUUGUUGGUUUCUAGGAUCACCGUAAUGAUUAAUAGGGAUAGUUGGGGGCAUUAGUAUUCAAUUGUCAGAGGUGAAAUUCUUGGAUUUAUUGAAGACUAACUACUGCGAAAGCAUUUGCCAAGGAUGUUUUCAUUAAUCAAGAACGAAAGUUAGGGGAUCGAAGACGAUCAGAUACCGUCGUAGUCUUAACCAUAAACUAUGCCGACUAGGAAUCAGACGAUGUUAAUUUUUUAAUGACUCGUUGGCA